rnacentral:rRNA from 1 species
ACGUCAAAUCAUCAUGCCCUUAUGACCUGGGCUACACACGUGCUACAAUGGUUGGUACAACGAGUUGCGAGUCGGUGACGGCGAGCUAAUCUCUUAAAGCCAAUCUCAGUUCGGAUUGUAGGCUGCAACUCGCCUACAUGAAGUCGGAAUCGCUAGUAAUCGCGGAUCAGCACGCCCGCGGUCGAAUACGUUCCCGGGCCUUGC